UUCCGGUUGAUCCUGCCGGACCCGACUGCUAUCAGAGUGGGACUAAGCCAUGCGAGUCGACGUAGCAAUGCGUGGCGAACGGCUCAGUAACACGUAGUCAACAUGCCCAGGGGACGUGGAUAACCUCGGGAAACUGAGAAUAAACCACGAUAGGUCACGAUUUCUGGAAUGGAUCAUGGCCUAAAUCUACAUGGCCCCUGGAUUGGACUGCGGCCGAUCAGGCUGUUGGUGAGGUAAUGGCCCACCAAACCUAUAACCGGUACGGGCUCUGAGAGGAGAAGCCCGGAGAUGGGCACUGAGACAAGGGCCCAGGCCCUAUGGGGCGCAGCAGGCGCGAAACCUCUGCAAUAGGCGAAAGCCUGACAGGGUUACUCUGAGUGAUUUCCGCUAAGGGGAUCUUUUGGCACCUCUAAAAAUGGUGCAGAAUAAGGGGUGGGCAAGUCUGGUGUCAGCCGCCGCGGUAAUACUAGCACCCCGAGUGGUCGGGACGAUUAUUGGGCCUAAAGCAUCCGUAGCCGGUUCUGCAAGUCUUCCGUUAAAUCCAGCCGCUCAACGGAUGGGCCGCGGAGGAUACUACAGGACUAGGAGGCGGGAGAGGCAAGCGGUACUCAGUGGGUAGGGGUAAAAUCCUUUGAUCCAUUGAAGACCACCAGUGGCGAAGGCGGCUUGCCAGAACGCGCUCGACGGUGAGGGAUGAAAGCUGGGGGAGCAAACCGGAUUAGAUACCCGGGUAGUCCCAG
rnacentral:rRNA from 1 species